GUAGGUGGCAAGCGUUGUCCGGAAUUAUUGGGCGUAAAGCGCGCGCAGGCGGGUUUCUUAAGUCUGAUGUGAAAGCCCACGGGCUCAACCGUGGAGGGUCAUUGGAAACUGGGGAACUUGAGUACAGAAGAGGAAAGUGGAAUUCCACGUGUAGCGGUGAAAUGCGUAGAGAUGUGGAGGAACACCAGUGGCGAAGGCGACUUUCUGGUCUGUAACUGACGCUGAGGCGCGAAAGCGUGGGGAGCAAACAGGAUUAGAUACCCUGGUAGUCCACGCCGUAAACGAUGAGUGCUAAGUGUUAGAGGGUUUCCGCCCUUUAGUGCUGCAGCUAACGCAUUAAGCACUCCGCCUGGGGAGUACGGUCGCAAGACUG
rnacentral:rRNA from 1 species